CUGAUCUCCAUGUCUUGCUUGUUCCUAUCUCCUGUGUGCUCUCCACACAUGGUAUCUCGAACCAGAACUGAUUUAGGAAAAAUGACGUUUGCCAUUAGUGCAGCAGCCUCAUGGAAAAAUCUGUAGUGUCUACUGUAAAUGAGCAUGUAUGCUCAGCUGAUCUACCAGUACAACCAAAAAAUGGGGAACAAGAAGUUUCAUGAGACAGUUGGCAACAGA